rnacentral:lncRNA from 1 species
GCAAUCUGUUCUGUUUAAAUGCUUCAUCAUCUUUGCUCUCCCCCUCCCUGUUUCCUUAGAUUUUCGAGAUUGUUGACUAUUAUGUAACAGAUGGCCCAACAGACCUCCGACUCUUUUGCGGUGUUGGCCAGCUUGGCUCAGGAAAAUAGCAGCACUGGAAUGAAGAAAUUAAAUUCUAGAGGGGUUAAUUCCUUCAACUACAUCAUGAUUGCCGUUAGAGGUGAGUAGUUUUAUUCUCUGCCCCCUACUUUAUUAUUCUAAUGAACUAUUCCCCUCCUUCCCCCAUUCCUUUCCCUAUCUUGCUGUUGGCCCCCUUUCCAUUCUCACGGCCUCAUCUCCGUUUACAAGGCCUCAUUUCCCC